AAACCAUGGUUGGGGCAUUUCCUUAGCAAAGCCUUAUAUCUUUCUCAUGCCUCACAUAAUGGUUCAUCAACUCCUUGAACAAAUGUAGAAAUAACCACUUAGCCU
rnacentral:snoRNA from 1 species